GCUUCUGUGGUGUAAUUCUAACACAUUAUAUUUUCAUUGUAAAACUGAAUUUUUAUUCCAGAAACU
rnacentral:tRNA from 1 species